GAGGCGGGAGUUACCUCAGCGAGCUAGGCGGGGUCGGGCGGGGCGGAGGGAGUGGGCCCGGCGCCUCUGAGAUCCCGGGGAGGGGAAGGACUCGCCCCGGGGUUGCCUGCGGAGCGGGGCCGGCGGCCGGGAGAUGUCCGGGGCGGAGAGGGGUUCGCCCCGGGGCAGCGCGGCGCAGCCAAGGUCGUUUCCCGCGGGAGGAAAGAGAGCGCGGCUGAGGCCUGCUCCGGGGGAAACCGGGGCGGCCCCGCUGGCACCGGGCAGGGAAGGGCUGGCCGGCAGCCGGGUGGGAGGUGGAAAACCUGGCCUGUGAAAGCCUCGGCUUCCCUCGGCCCCAAAGGACCGCGGGGUUUGGAAGAGGGAAGUUGGGGUUUGCUCGUGUUUGACAGGUGUCACGGCUGAAAGGCUGAAUAUUUCCAGCUCUCUCGUCCACCUUUUCCUCUUGGGUGGAUUUUUUGAGGGUUUUUUUUUUGUUUUUGUUUUGGUUUGGUUUUUUGGGUGUUUCGGGUUUGGGUUUUUUUGUCUGAUAUUUUUAGAGAACAAAGCCCAUCUCAAGUUCCGGUGUGAUGUCAAAAUUUGACCAGAUGAAUGAAAAAAUAAAAGUAAUAGCACUGACAGUUGCAUUACAAAGUGCAGUUUCUUUUGUGCUGCUGGGGGGGAUUGACAAAUAGGAGCAGUAUCGGUGUAAAAAAGCAACACUUUUCACAAAUUAUUAGUAUUGGAGGAAUUUAUUUUGGGUAGAGUGAGGAAGUAAUGCCUGUAAAGAGUUUCCAACAAAAUACUGGAGCCCUACCAAAAAUUUAAUCCUGGUGAAGGAAAUGAGAUACUCAAAUUGUCUGUCACCUCUUCAUCUCUACAUACAAACUGUUAAAAUAAGACCUGGGUUUUUUUCAGUAAAAGCAUAAAAUAGCUGAUAGACUUCUGUAAGGUAAUGAGAUAAUGCUAUCAGAAUAAGGGACUACAUUGGCAUUUUCCCAGGCUGCAAAAAUACAGUUUUGUUUGCUUUAAAAACUUGUUCUUUGGACAGAGUGCUAUAAAUACAGGGUUGGUUUUUUUUUUUUCUUUUUCUUAUUUUGGCAUCCACAGUAAUGGAAGAGCUGAAAAACUAUAACCUGCAAUAAUUUGUUCUUGGUUUUCACUUUAGAAAUAAUGGGACUAAUUACAGUUUUUUCCUGCUUGCUUUUAUCGAGAUCCAGGGAGCUGGAGUGAAGAUUUCACAGUUGCUCAUUUGAAGCAGGAAUGUUAAAUCACACCAAAGAAAUGGCCUUCAGAGUUGUCUCUUAGCAUCUAAGGCAUCAUCCUGCCAGCUGUCCUAUCAUCCGCAGUGUCUUGCAAGAAAUCCAGGAUGAAUGGUGCUCAGAGUGCUUUAGUGUGAAAGGGGAAGGACAAAUAAGACCACAAUAUUCUAAGGGAAUUGAGACAGAAAUUGAGCUCGUGAAUUUGGGCACGAUUGCUUCUGGAGGGUAAAAGUCUACAAGCAAUCAUUCUGCUCUGCUGCUACAACCUACUAUGGGGGCUUCGCAUGCGUGCGCUUCCAGAGACAGCAACCAAGGGGCAUCUCAAGCAGAAAUCUUUGAUACCCGUGCAGGUGCCCUGGUGACGUAAACUUCACUUCGAGCUGCAUCUUCCAGGGAGCGUCAGAAGGUCAUGUGUCUCUCCCAUUCGUCCAGUCUCCUCUCUUCCUGCCGUGCUGCUUCCUACUCCUCUGCUAUGCCAGGGAUGGAAAACGUAACAUUUUAUUUGUUCACUUCACACCUCCUGCAUUUCCCUCUGAACAGAGGGCUCCUUUCUUGAGCAACAGUGAAAGUAAACCACUAUCACAAAGCAAACUUGGGGCCCUGGAAUAUGAAACCACUCCCUGCAAUAUUUAAAUUCCUUUGAAAACCAUCCUCUGCCAUAUGUCUAUAAACACUGUCCAGCUGCAAUGAGCUUAUAGAUUCUUGGAGACCAUCUGAAUUUAGCAAAGAAAUAACAAUACUGUGUGCUGAGAGAGAGCCAAUUGCCAUUUUAAGCAUUUCAUUUAGAUCUUCAGAUACUUUUUAUUCUUUCUCUGUUGCCAAUUGUUAGGUAAAAUCAGGAUCAAAGGUAUACCAGUUUAAUAUACUUACUUUUCUUAAACGAGGUUCAUCUUUCUAAAUAGUUACAUGAAAAUUAUCAGGUUUAUUACAGGACAUGCAGUAUAAUUGUGCAGUUUAAAAGACUGAAAUUUAAAUUUAAUGUCAUUACUACCGUAUCAUAAGCAGGCUAAUGUGCAUGCUCCAGCAGUUUAGCAUUACAUUCCCAAUCUCUUUGCUUCACAAAUGACUGAGAGAAGAUCCAGAGCUCCUGUUGCAAGAAAACAGACCCUCCUUUACCUAAAGGCAGAAAAAUCUGUAAUGGUUUUUAUCCCUAAAGCGUGCCAUUUACAUGCGCAUUUGUAAACUGCUCCUACACCUUACACCAUGCUGCUGCUGUUGGUUAACGCUUUGGGCUGUUCCGUGUCACUGUCCCCACACAGCAUGGUCAAACACCAACUUUUCCUGUAAUUUUAAAACUGAAAUUACUUCAGUAAUAUCUUGUAAGUCCUUCUGCUCAAAUAGCGUUAUUGCCUGGUUUAUGAACAUUUUUGAUCCAAUACAUGGAUGUGUAAUGUGCAGAGUUGCUUGUAUUAUUCCAUUACUAGAAACCAUGUAACAUUUAUUAUAUUAAAAUACACUCCUGAAUGCUUCA